rnacentral:lncRNA from 1 species
UUGUUCACGCUGAACGGUCGCAAUCGCCAUAACCCGAUUUUUGGGUGGAAAAUGGGACCCUUUAAGAUUGAUAUCAUGCUUUGUGUGUUGGCCCUUUAUAUCAGCAGGGCUGCAACCUCACAACAUCCACCUGCAGAGGUAAGUGCUAGAAUCUUUUGACAGUUUUAUUCGGCUGAUUUGACUUCAGAUGCCACCGCUCCUAAUUGUUAAAGACGACAAUGUGGACAAUUUAAUAGGAUCGAAAGCUUCAGCAAGUACGGGGGGACUGUUAAGAGGAGAUGUUUGUCAAGAAUUGUAUGCGUCUACUAAAACCUCGUUUGGACAAAAAGCUCGAGCUGGACUAAGCCAAUCAAAAAAUCGAGGCAGACGCAAUGCGAAAUCAGCACAAAUUCGGCGAAUGCAGCUUUAAAAGAAGCGAAAUAGAAAAGUCAGACCAGGACCCCCACGACCCCGACCUAGGCCCAGACCAAGACCCCAUCCAGUUGUGCCAAAUCCACCUAAACCGGGCCCAACUGCAGAACAAGUACGGGACAUAGCCAAUAUUUCAAUUUCAAUUGUGGAAGCAAUACGAAAGAUGUUGGACAGUUUGCUCAAGAAGCGCCCCGUCCCAGUCCUAUGGCCCUAUGAUUUUAUUAGCUAGAAGCUCGGAGUUUUAGCGGAAAUCUUACUGCGAAAUGUCAAAAUAUACAGGAUAUUGCAUGUCU